AUGUGACACUAAAAUGUCCCUGCAAGUCUUUUCAAAGCGUGUAUUGGAUCCGGCUCAUUCCUGGAAACCUUCCUGAAGUCUUAGGGCGAGCUUUUAGUUCUGAGGGUGUCGAUUCUCGCAUUACAACCACAGAAGAAUCAAGAACAUUUGUUCUGCGUAUUAAAAACACAAAGCUAAGUGAUACUGGAGUUUACUUCUGCAUGCAAAUGCAAAAAAUCUUGACAUUUCUGAAAACAGCAGACCUGAGAGUUGAAGGUAUAUCAGCAAAAAGUUACUUACAUACCUCUUGCCUUACUUGAUCAUAUAAAGUUCCCUUUUCACGUAAUUCAGAGGAUUGUUUUAAUUUUAUGAUUUUAAUUUCCCCGGACCAGAACCUGAUACAACUGCAGUCCCUCCAUCUGAUCCAGUCCGUCCUGGAGGGUCUGUGACUGUGACGCAGAGUUCAGUCCUCUGUGACUCUGAGAACACAACAGGUCCAGCAGAACAGACUGUGUGCUGUUUCAGAGCUGAAUCAGAUGAAUGUCAUCUGAACUUUACUAACAUUCCAGGAGACAAUGUUGAAGAAUAUGAAAAGACCAACGUGAUUCUCUCUCUGUUAUGUGCUGCUUUGGCUAUAAGUCUCAUUGUUAUAGCCUUUCUCAUAUAUUCAAUCAUGAAACUCAAGAGGAAAUCUUGUGGUUCUUGUAACGCUGCUGUUUCUCUGCAAACACAUGCUGCGACAGCCAGUGCCGAUCACCAAAGUCAACAGACAGAAGAGGAUUUAUUGAUUUAUUCUGCACCAACCUUCACCAGCAGGAAAACUAUUAAAGCAGAGACAAGGGAUACAAAAACAGAUGAGGAAGAGGCCAUCUACACUAAUGUCAGAGUUGAAUUAACAGACUAAACAAUGGAUGUAAUGUCUGCAUACUGUGUAGGAAAUGUACUGCCUAAAAAUUAUAUACAUAUAUAUUAUACUUCAUUUGUUGUUAAAUGUAUAUGACUUUAUUUAUGAAGAAACAAAUCCUCAUGACAUAAUAAUAUUAUAUUAUAAUAGUUCAGCUUUUAGCAUUACACCUUUGCUGUAGAGGUCCCAUAUCAAUGAAUGUUUGUUUCAUUGUGGGUCAAUAUUAAAGUUGUUAACUCUGA